CUCCCCGCUGUAGGAAAAUGACUUCCACGUCAUUCCAGUCUGUUUCCCCCUUCACUGAAGGUUGACGUCCUCGGCAAGCCAUUAACCAGUUCGCAUGAUGUCGAGGAUGGUUCUUGACAACUCCAUCUCUAAGCCUUUAAAUCUUCCUUUUCUUGCUUCAGACUCCAACCAGUGAAUCCUCAUUAACCAAUCCGGCUGUUGGAUAGUAGUAGCCUGCUUGGAUACAACAUAGUCCUCAAGGUAUUUCGGUGGUUUC
rnacentral:lncRNA from 1 species